UGAAAAUCUACAAAAGAAUCGUCAUCUGGAAAUCUCAUCAGAUGGAGUAUUUUUUAUUUUCUGCCUGUGUUUGUAACAGCAAGUGAAGUGUCUCUGCAGGAGACUGUUGAGGGAUUUAUUGGAGGAUCUGCUGUUUUACCUUGUUCUUCUGAAAAACCUCCGAUUACAAUUCAAGACAUCACAGUGCGCUGGAGAAACAAGUACGACAAGAUUGUGUACGAGAUUAUUGAUGGUCAAGUCUCUGUGGAAGAACAGGAUCAACAGUACAAGAACAGAGGCAGAAGAAAGCUUCCCAGGGAGUAUAGAGAAGAAAGCAAACUUCUCCAUCAAACUCAACAAUCUUCAACACACUGAUGCAGGAAAAUACACGUGCUACAUCAUCAUGAAGGAAUCAGUACUCAGGAUUGUUGAGCUUUUAAUUAAAGAGAGACCAGAAAGACAACUCCCCAGCGAAGGAACAAACCCAAAACCAGAGAUGAUUGUAAUGUUCGUUUCCAUUCUUUGCACUGGCAUUAUAUUUUCAUUGUCUAACUCUGCCACAGUGUGUUUUUAAGGAGUUUUAGUCAUUGCUCACUAUGACUCGACAUCAUCUCACAGGCUCCUAGAAAUGUCUGUAUAUCAUCUGUAGAUAUUAAUUUGUUUUUCUUCACACCUCAUUAAUCUGUGUAGCCCAUCUAAACCUUCUGCACAGUGCUGCAAUACCAGCAUACACUGAAAUAUAAAAGCUCUGUCUAUUAUAGAUGAGCUGCUGUGAUGGAGGUAGACAUCAAUUAUCUCUGGUGCUGUGUUUACAGUAGUGAGAGAACUAUUUUACCAUUUUACAACCACUAAUUAUAAUUCAAGUAUACAACAGGCUGUGAAAAUGUUUAUUGUGAACUAAUCCCAGGCCUAAUGUGAUGUGCUGUAAAAAGUACAACUUGUAUGUUUUCAUUACAAUCGCUAGGACCCAUUUCUUAAUACUUAAGGCACUUUUUCAAAACUCUCUCCACCAUAUCUCCUAAAAAAACAAUUUCAGUUUGGGCACAGCAACUAAUUUCACACUCAAAUGCACCCAAAAUUAUGAGAACAAUGCAUACUUUGUCUCAAAUCAAAUCAUUGUUACAUAAUGCUAGCAAAGAUUGUCACAUCAUAAAACAAUAACCUAAAAACACUGGUAAAAACUGGUAACAUUAGACAACAUUUUCUUUAUUGCUGUCAAAUUGCUGUUUAUUUCACUUAAGUUAAAAAAUAAAUAAAUAAAUAAAAGAGUAUGUAAACAUGUACAGUAAGUUGCCCUGAAGGUUUUUAUGUCUGAGUCAGAAAGGAAUUCAUGUAAUAUGAAAGAUGUAGUCACUGAAUGCUUUUUGUGCCAAAGCAUUGAUGAAUAAUGCACAGUUUAACCCACAUAGACUGCUAUUGUGCUCAAUGUGUGAAGAGUU